rnacentral:rRNA from 1 species
ACGAACGCUGGCGGCGUGCUUCACACAUGCAAGUCGCACGGAAAGGCCCUGCUUUUGUGGGGUGCUCGAGUGGCGAACGGGUGAGUAACACGUGAGUAACCUGCCCUUGACUUUGGGAUAACUUCAGGAAACUGGGGCUAAUACCGGAUAGGAGCUCCUGCUGCAUGGUGGGGGUUGGAAAGUUUCGGCGGUUGGGGAUGGACUCGCGGCUUAUCAGCUUGUUGGUGGGGUAGUGGCUUACCAAGGCUUUGACGGGUAGCCGGCCUGAGAGGGUGACCGGCCACAUUGGGACUGAGAUACGGCCCAGACUCCUACGGGAGGCAGCAGUGGGGAAUAUUGCACAAUGGGCGGAAGCCUGAUGCAGCAACGCCGCGUGCGGGAUGACGGCCUUCGGGUUGUAAACCGCUUUCGCCUGUGGCGAAGCGUGAGUGACGGUAAUGGGUAAAGAAGCACCGGCUAACUACGUG